rnacentral:rRNA from 2 species
UACGAAGGGGGCUAGCGUUGUUCGGAAUUACUGGGCGUAAAGCGCACGUAGGCGGGUAUUUAAGUCAGGGGUGAAAUCCCAGAGCUCAACUCUGGAACUGCCUUUGAUACUGGGUACCUAGAGUAUGGAAGAGGUGAGUGGAAUUCCGAGUGUAGAGGUGAAAUUCGUAGAUAUUCGGAGGAACACCAGUGGCGAAGGCGGCUCACUGGUCCAUUACUGACGCUGAGGUGCGAAAGCGUGGGGAGCAAACAGG